rnacentral:misc_RNA from 1 species
GAUGAAGAACGUAGCGAAAUGCGAUAAGUAGUGUGAAUUGCAGAAUUCAGUGAAUCAUCGAAUCUUUGAACGCACAUUGCGGCCAUAGGUAUUCCUUUGGCCGUGCCUGUUCGAGCGUCAUUUACACCCUCAAGCCUAGCUUGGUGUUGGGCGCCUGUCCCGCCGUUUUCGCGCGCGGACUCGCCUCAAAGUCAUUGGCGGCGGUCGUGCCGGCCCCCUCGCGCAGCACAUUUGCGCUUCUCGGAGGCCCGGCGGAUCCGCGCUCCAGCAAGACCUUUCACGACUUGACCUCGGAUCAGGUAGGGAUACCCGCUGAACUUAAGCAUAUCAAUAAGCGGAGGA